CAGCAGCCGCGGUAAUACGAAGGGUGCAAGCGUUAAUCGGAAUUACUGGGCGUAAGGCGUGCGUAGGCGGUGAGUUAAGUCUGCUGUGAAAUCCCCGGGCUCAAUCUGGGAAUGGCAGUGGAUACUGGCUCGCUAGAGUGUGUCAGAGGAUGGUGGAAUUCCCGGUGUAGCGGUGAAAUGCGUAGAGAUCGGGAGGAACAUCAGUGGCGAAGGCGGCCAUCUGGGACAACACUGACGCUGAGGCACGAAAGCGUGGGGAGCAAACAGGAUUAGAUACCCCAGUAGUCCCUGUCUCUUUUAC
rnacentral:rRNA from 1 species